rfam:Dichomitus squalens LYAD-421 SS1 unplaced genomic scaffold DICSQscaffold_2, whole genome shotgun sequence.
GGGCACAUGGUGUAGUUGGUUAUCACAUCCGCUUAGCAUCUAGAAGAUGGAAUUGCGGGGGGUGCUGGGUUCAAUUCCCAGUGUGUCCA